rnacentral:rRNA from 1 species
UACGGAGGGUGCAAGCGUUAUCCGGAAUCACUGGGUUUAAAGGGUGCGUAGGUGGGCUGGUAAGUCAGUGGUGAAAUCUCCAGGCUUAACUUGGAAACUGCCAUUGAUACUAUCAGUCUUGAAUACCGUGGAGGUCAGCGGAAUAUGUCAUGUAGCGGUGAAAUGCUUAGAUAUGACAUAGAACACCAAUUGCGAAGGCAGCUGGCUACACGAAUAUUGACACUGAUGCACGAAAGCGUGGGGAUCAAACAGG